rnacentral:rRNA from 1 species
CCUACGGGAGGCAGCAGUGGGGAAUAUUGCACAAUGGGCGCAAGCCUGAUGCAGCCAUGCCGCGUGUGUGAAGAAGGCCUUCGGGUUGUAAAGCACUUUCAGCGGGGAGGAAGGCGUUAAGGUUAAUAACCUUGGCGAUUGACGUUACCCGCAGAAGAAGCACCGGCUAACUCCGUGCCAGCAGCCGCGGUAAUACGGAGGGUGCAAGCGUUAAUCGGAAUUACUGGGCGGAAAGCGCACGCAGGCGGUCUGUCAAGUCGGAUGUGAAAUCCCCGGGCUCAACCUGGGAACUGCAUUCGAAACUGGCAGGCUAGAGUCUUGUAGAGGGGGGUAGAAUUCCAGGUGUAGCGGUGAAAUGCGUAGAGAUCUGGAGGAAUACCGGUGGCGAAGGCGGCCCCCUGGACAAAGACUGACGCUCAGGUGCGAAAGCGUGGGGAGCAAACAGGAUUAGAUACCCGGGUAGUC